GGGCGCGUGGUCUAGUGGUAUGAUUCUCGCUUUGGGCGACGGUUGUAACAACCGACAAAACUGUGAGAGGCCCUGGGUUCAAUUCCCAGCUCGCCCC
rnacentral:tRNA from 1 species